ACUGAAUAGAUACCCGGGUAGUCCCAGCUGUAAACGAUGCAGGCUAGGUGUUUGGACGGCCACGUGCCGUUCUAGUGCCGCAGGGAAGCUGUUAAGCCUGCCGCCUGGGGAGUACGAUCGCAAGAUUGAAACUUAAAGGAAUUGGCGGGGGAGCACCACAAGGGGUGAAGCUUGCGGUUUAAUUGGAGUCAACGCCGGAAAUCUCACCGGGAGCGACAGCAGUGUGAAGGCCAGAUUAAAGGUCUUGCCAGACGAGCUGAGAGGAGGUGCAUGGCCGUCGCCAGUUCGUGCCGUGAGGUGUCCUGUUAAGUCAGGCAACGAUCGAGACCCGCAUCCUCUGUUGCAACCAGUUUUGAGCUGGGCACACUGAGGAGACCGCCACUGAUAAAGUGGAGGAAGGAGCGGGCCACGGCAGGUCAGUAUGCCCCGAAUCUCCGGGCCACACGCGAGCUGCAAUGGCAGGUACAAUGGUUCCGAACCGUCGAAAGGGGAAGGCAAUCUCGAAAACCUGCCGUAGUU
rnacentral:rRNA from 1 species